UCAAAACCAGCAUAACUCUACUCGUUAAUCUUGUUAUAUUCCUAGAUUUGAACCAUCGUGGCCAUAUAACUGAAAGCUGAAUUCAUUGUGUAAGUAACGUAUGAUAUGAUAAUACUAUAUGUGUAUAAAUAGGUGGACACAUAUAUGUAUAUAAACUAAAUUUGGCAUUUCCUAUCAUAUGAUAUGAUAAGCUUGAUUGGCAUGUGAUGUGGAUUGGACCACACAAACACACACACACAGAAGAUG